rnacentral:snRNA from 1 species
AAACUUACCUGGCUGGAAGGUUCUCACGAUCAAGAAGGUGGGGCCUUCAUGGUGAGGCUUGACCAUUGCACUUUAGGUCAGGUUGACCCGUGUGGCAUUCCCGAGUCGGGAUUCGCCAACAGCGUAAUUUUUGCGUUAGGGGACAGCGUACGCGCUUCCCUAA